UCCUGACUGACCGAUAGUGAACCAGUACCGUGAGGGAAAGGCGAAAAGAACCCCGGCGAGGGGAGUGAAAAAGAACCUGAAACCGUGUACGUACAAGCAGUGGGAGCACGCUUAGGCGUGUGACUGCGUACCUUUUGUAUAAUGGGUCAGCGACUUAUAUUCUGUAGCAAGGUUAACCGAAUAGGGGAGCCGAAGGGAAACCGAGUCUUAACUGGGCGUUAAGUUGCAGGGUAUAGACCCGAAACCCGGUGAUCUAGCCAUGGGCAGGUUGAAGGUUGGGUAACACUAACUGGAGGACCGAACCGACUAAUGUUGAAAAAUUAGCGGAUGACUUGUGGCUGGGGGUGAAAGGCCAAUCAAACCGGGAGAUAGCUGGUUCUCCCCGAAAGCUAUUUAGGUAGCGCCUCGUGAAUUCAUCUCCGGGGGUAGAGCACUGUUUCGGCAAGGGGGUCAUCCCGACUUACCAACCCGAUGCAAACUGCGAAUACCGGAGAAUGUUAUCACGGGAGACACACGGCGGGUGCUAACGUCCGUCGUGAAGAGGGAAACAACCCAGACCGCCAGCUAAGGUCCCA
rnacentral:rRNA from 1 species